CUCCAUGAAAGAAGCUGCACAGCAAUACUAGCUGUCUGCUUUCCACAGUUCCCCAUUGUGGAGUUACCAGGACUUAGGUUUUUCGUUGGAAUAUACGUUGCACAUUUAUGGCGAUUCUGAGUGUGAGGGCAGACUUCUGCCAGGCUCAGCACAGCAUUUUCGCUGACAAGUGAGCUUGGAGGUUCUAUGUGCCAUAAUUAACAUUGCCUUGAAGACUCCUGGACACCGAGACUGGCCUCAGAAAUAGUUGGCUUUUUUUUUUUUUAAUUGCAAGCAUAUUUCUUUUAAUGACUCCAGUAAAAUUAAGCAUCAAGUAAACAAGUGGAAAGUGACCUACACUUUUAACUUGUCUCACUAGUGCCUAAAUGUAGUAAAGGCUGCUUAAGUUUUGUAUGUAGUUGGAUUUUUUGGAGUCCGAAGGUAUCCAUCUGCAGAAAUUGAGGCCCAAAUUGAAUUUGGAUUCAAGUGGAUUCUAAAUACUUUGCUUAUCUUGAAGAGAGAAGCUUCAUAAGGAAUAAACAAGUUGAAUAGAGAAAACACUGAUUGAUAAUAGGCAUUUUAGUGGUCUUUUUAAUGUUUUCUGCUGUGAAACAUUUCAAGAUUUAUUGAUUUUUUUUUUUCACUUUCCCCAUCACACUCACACGCACGCUCACACUUUUUAUUUGCCAUAAUGAACCGUCCAGCCCCUGUGGAGAUCUCCUAUGAGAACAUGCGUUUUCUGAUAACUCACAACCCUACCAAUGCUACUCUCAACAAGUUCACAGAGGAACUUAAGAAGUAUGGAGUGACGACUUUGGUUCGAGUUUGUGAUGCUACAUAUGAUAAAGCUCCAGUUGAAAAAGAAGGAAUCCACGUUCUAGAUUGGCCAUUUGAUGAUGGAGCUCCACCCCCUAAUCAGAUAGUAGAUGAUUGGUUAAACCUGUUAAAAACCAAAUUUCGUGAAGAGCCAGGUUGCUGUGUUGCAGUGCAUUGUGUUGCAGGAUUGGGAAGGGCACCUGUGCUGGUUGCACUUGCUUUGAUUGAAUGUGGAAUGAAGUACGAAGAUGCAGUUCAGUUUAUAAGAC
rnacentral:lncRNA from 1 species